GCACCGCUAGCUCAAUUGGCAGAGCAACUGACUCUUAAUCAGUGGGUUCAGGGUUCGAGUCCCUGGCGGUGUACCA
rnacentral:tRNA from 2 species